CUCUUCUUGGAUGAGUUGCGAACGGGUGAGUAACGCGUAGGUAACCUGCCUUUCAGAGGGGGAUAACGGCUGGAAACGGUCGCUAAUACCGCAUGACGUGUUCGGAUGGCAUCAUCUGAACAUCAAAGAUUUAUCGCUGAAAGAUGGGCUCGCGUCUGAUUAGCUAGUUGGUGAGAUAACAGCCCACCAAGGCGACGAUCAGUAGCCGACCUGAGAGGGUGACCGGCCACAUUGGGACUGAGACACGGCCCAGACUCC
rnacentral:rRNA from 1 species